CCCAAGAACCAUUGUAGCUGCCAGCGACCUUUCCAACCCCAACCCGUACUUGAGGUUCCGAGGUGUGUGACCUGCAAGGACCUGUCAAUGACCUGUAAGGACCUUUCCAACCCAACCUUAUAGAGUCUAUAGACCUGUGAGCUGCAAGGACCUGUGACCUGCCAGGACCUGGGAGGGAUGGCUGAGAUGGGUUGGGAAUGGGAGAGCUGCAAGGACCCGUCUAUGAGCUGCCAGGACCUUCCCAACCCAACCCUAUUGAGUCUAUAGGUCACUAUCAGCUGCCAGGACCUUCCCAACCCAACCCUAUAGGGGCUGCAGGUCUAUGAGCUGCAAGGACCCGUCUAUGAGCUGCCAGGACCUUUCCAACCCUAUUGAGUCUAUAGGUCACUAUGAGCUGCCAGGACCUUUCCAACCCAACCCUAUUGAGUCAAUGGGUCUAUGAGCUGCCAGGACCUUUCCAACCCAACCCUAUUGAGUCUAUGGGUCUAUGAGCUGCCAGGACCUCAUUGUGAGCUGCCAGGACCUGUCUGUGAGCUGCCAGGACCUUCCCAACCCAACCCUAUAGAGUCUAUGGGUCUAUGAGCUGCCAGGACCUUCCCAACACAACCCAAUAGGGGCUGCAGGUCUAUGACCUGCAAGGACCUGUGAGCUGCCAGGACCUUUCCAACCCUAUUGAGUCUAUGGGUCACUAUGAGCUGCCAGGACCUUUCCAACCCAACUCUAUUGAAACUAUAUCCCCAGAAACUGAAAGGACCUUACUGUGAGCUGCCAGGACCUUUCCAACCCAACCCGAUAGAGUCAAUAGGUCUGUGAACUGCCAGGACCUUCCCAACCCAACCCAACCCUAUAGAGUCUAUGGGUCACUAUAAGCUGCCAGGACCUUCCCAAGCCAACGCUAUUGAGUCUACAGCCCUAGCAGAUACAAGGACCCAGUUGUGAGCUGCCAGGACCUGGGAGGGAUGGCGGGACAUUGGGACCAACAUUAAGCUGCCAGGACCUUCCCAACCCAACCCUAUUGAGUCUAUGGGUCUGUGAGCUGCCAGGACCUUCCCAACCCAACCCUAUUGAGUACAUGGGUCUAUGACCUUCAAGGACCUGUGAGCUGCCAGGACCUGGGAAGGUUAGCUGGGAUGGGUUGGGAAUGGGGGAGCUGCAAGGACCU
rnacentral:lncRNA from 1 species